rnacentral:RNase_P_RNA from 1 species
CGAGUCGGUCAGGCGAUCGCUCCCGGGCCGCCUUCGGGUGGUGUGGGGGAGGAAAGUCCGGGCUCCGCAGGGCAGAGUGCCAGGUAACGCCUGGGAGGCGUGAGCCUACGGAAAGUGCAACAGAGAGCAUACCGCCCAAAAAUGGCAUGAAGCUGGAGUCUGACUCCUUUUUUAUCCGUUUGAGUGCCACUCGUGGCUGGGUAAGGGUGAAAUGGUGCGGUAAGAGCGCACCGCGCGGCUGGCAACAGGCGUGGCGAUGGUAAACCCCACUCGGAGCAAGACCAAAUAGGAAUCCAUCAGCUGUGGCCCGCAGCGGAUUCGGGUAGGUCGCUACAGGCAGGUGGUGACACCUGUCGCAGAUGAAUGAUCGUCCACGACAGAACCCGGCUUACCGACCGACUCGCUUU